UACGGAGGAUCCAAGCGUUAUCCGGAUUUAUUGGGUUUAAAGGGUGCGUAGGCGGGAUAUUAAGUCAGUGGUGAAAGUUUGCAGCUUAACUGUAAAAUUGCCAUUGAAACUGAUAUUCUUGAGUACAAAUGAGGUAGGCGGAAUGUGUUGUGUAGCGGUGAAAUGCAUAGAUAUAACACAGAACACCAAUUGCGAAGGCAGCUUACUGGGAUGUAACUGACGCUGAGGCACGAAAGCGUGGGGAUCAAACAGG
rnacentral:rRNA from 1 species